GUAGCGCUCCCUUUUGGGAUCAACGAGCUGUGUGGCGCCUGUGCGGCUUCUGAGAGACCGGCUGGUGGCGCUUGGCGGCUUCCUGCCAAUCCACCCUUCUCCUCCCGCGCAAGGGGGCAAUCCCAAUCCCACCACCGGGAACACCCAGGCCAAAAGAACGGGAGUUACACUCAAAGUCUUCCCCCUUCUUAUCACUCCUGCCGAUUUCCCUCUUCCUUUUUGCACGCCUCCACUCUUCCCCACCGGAAACGCCGCCCCUUCCUCCUACAGUUCCUCCCAGCAGUCCCUCAACGCCUGUCUUCCCUCGCGCGUAGAGAGUGACUCGAAGGACCCCCUCUCCUCUUCGCUGCAGCCCCUCCCCAUGCACGCUGGGAGACUCUUGGAGGGGAUAAGGUUUCGGGCCAAAAAGCUGAAAUAAAGAACGAAGUCAAUAAUAAUAUGAAGUGUAUGAGAAAUAGCUGGAAAAUUCAUCAUCCAUGACUUGAAGAAAUUGACGUUUUACAAGUUAUAUUUUCGGUGAAGAGGCACUUUCAAGAUCCUUCUCUGAGACCUGCACCAAUAAGACUAUACCAAUGUUCAGUUGAAACAUCAGACACUGUUCUGGUUAUGAUGGACACCACAGUGAAAGAGACCUGGUCCCUGCCUUGAGGAAACCCAACUGCUGGUAGAGAGCUCAGAGUAAUGAUUAGGAUGCAAUAUGAGGGAUGCAGUAAUUGGGAUCUACUUCUGGGAACCGUCACAGCCUGAGAAAGAUGGCAUGCCCUGAAUGGAAUUCACAGAGAAUUAUUUUAAGUCAUGCUACUGGCCCCGCCCAGUUAUGUAACAACUUGCAUUUCCUCAAUUCUCUGGAAUGUGGCCAGUCAGGAACUUCCACAUUUGGUUUUUUUUUUUUCCCCCAUUUGUGGGUAAGAAAGUAAAAGAGGCAGGAAAACUGAAUUGAGAAAGAAGAAAGAAUAGGGGAAGAGAGAAAGAAAAAAGAAAACCAUGAAGCCUGGAAGAGGAGAAAGAAGAGAUAGAUGAGCAAAGAAGCACAUUGCCUGGUGGUAGUAAUAGUUGUCAGACACCCAUCUAUUAUAAUCUGUUUUCCAUGGGAGAUUUUAAGAAGAGGCUAGAUCCCCAGUCUGUCUUAAAAUCAAGAAAAGGGACUCUGUUGCCUCUAAAGUAUACUUCCAGACUCAGCAAUCUCUAAAUUCUGAGUGGGGCAUCCCUAGUUUUGCUGCCUAAAAUCUAUGACAGUUGGAAAUGAUUCCAUUUAAGAUCCAGUUCAAGAAGCUAUACACCCUGAGGAACUUUAUAUUGCCAUUUAGAGGACCGAUAUUCUCCAGAUUGCUUGAGCCCAGGAGUUUGAGACCAGCCUGGGCAACAUGGCAAAACUCCAUCUCUACCAAAAAAAAAAAAAAAACAAAAUUAGCUGGGCAUGGUGGUACACAUCUGUAGAACCAGCUACUCUGGAGGCUGAGCUGAGAGAACCCCUUGAGCCUAGGAGAUGGAGGUUGCUGUGAGCCAAGAUCGUGCCACUGCACUCAAGCCUGGGUGACAGAGCCAGACCCUAUCUCAUAAAUAAAUAAAUGUCAAUAUUCUCCAAAACAGAUUGUAUCAUUUGAAUUUGGACUUUGUGUACACUUGAUACUACACUUAAUCUUUGCCAAAAAGCCGAGAAGCAAUGGACUUUGGGUACAAGGUGGAAUAUCACUCUACUCUCACCCAUUUUAGUAUGAGUGAAAAUACCAUUUAAAACAAAACAAAACAAAACAAAAUAAGGUAGUCCAGACAGUUGUAAACUACUGUAUAUUCUGCAGAAAGUCCUCUUUUACCCCUCAGGAAAGUGCACUUCAGGCAAGAAGGAAUGGCAGAAAUGUGCUUGAAACACUGGAAGAAAGGAAGAAGGCCCAUGAGGUGGAGUGGAGUUAGUGACUGGAAAGUGGCAAGAGAUGAAUCUGGAAGAUAGGCAAAGGCUACAUCACAUAAGGCCUUCAGGCCAAG
rnacentral:lncRNA from 1 species